rnacentral:rRNA from 1 species
UACGUAGGCAGCAAGCGUUGUUCGGAGUUACUGGGCGUAAAGGGUGCGUAGGUGGCUCUAUAAGUAUGGUGUGAAAUCUCCCGGCCUAACUGGGAGGGUGCGCCGUAGACUGUGGGGCUAGAGUGUGGGAGAGGAAAGUGGAAUUCCUGGUGUAGCGGUGAAAUGCGUAGAUAUCAGGAGGAACACCGGUGGCGAAGGCGGAUCUCUGGGCCAUUACUGACGCUGAGGAGCGAAAGCGUGGGGAGCGAACAGG